rnacentral:rRNA from 1 species
AUUGAACGCUGGCGGCAGGCCUAACACAUGCAAGUCGAGCGCGCGGCGGACGGGUGAGUAAUGUCUGUGAAACUGCCUGAUGGAGGGGGGUAACUACUGGAAACGGUAGCUCAUACCGCAUACCAUCAGAUGUGCCCCCAUGGGAUUAGCUAGUGGGUGGGGUAACGGCUCCCCUAGGCGACGAUCCCUAGCUGGUCUGAGAGGAUGACCAGCAACACUGGAACUGAGACACGGUCCAGACUCCUACGGGAGGCAGCAGUGGGGAAUAUUGCACAAUGGGCGCAAGCCUGAUGCAGCCAUGCCGCGUGUGUGAAGAAGGCCUUCGGGUUGUAAAGCACUUUCAGCGGGGAGGCGUUACCCGCAGAAGAAGCACCGGCUAACUCCGUGCCAGCAGCCGCGGUAAUAC